GCGGCGUGCCUAACACAUGCAAGUCGAACGAGAAGCUGACUUCCGAUUCCUUCGGGAUGAAGAGGCCGGCAGAAAGUGGCGAACGGGUGAGUAACGCGUGGGUAAUCUACCCUGCAAGCGGGGGAUAACCCUCCGAAAGGAGGGCUAAUACCGCAUAAUAUCUUCACUUCUAAAAGAAGAGAAGAUUAAAGAUGGCCUCUAUACUAUGCUAUCGCUUCAGGAUGAGCCUGCGUCCUAUUAGUUAGUUGGUGGGGUAAUGGCCUACCAAGACGACAAUGGGUAGCCGGUCUGAGAGGAUGUACGGCCACACUGGGACUGAGAUACGGCCCAGACUCCUACGGGAGGCAGCAGUGGGGAAUCUUGCGCAAUGGGGGAAACCCUGACGCAGCGACGCCGCGUGGAUGAUGAAGGCCUUUGGGUUGUAAAAUCCUGUUCUGGGGGAAGAAACCUUAAGGGUCCAAUAAACCCUUAAGCUGACGGUACCCCAAGAGAAAGCUCCGGCUAAUUAUGUGCCAGCAGCCGCGGUAAUACAUAAGGAGCAAGCGUUAUCCGGAAUUAUUGGGCGUAAAGAGCUCGUAGGCGGUCUUAAAAGUCAGGUGUGAAAUUAUCAGGCUCAACCUGAUAAGGUCAUCUGAAACUUUAAGACUUGAGGAUAGAAGAGGAAAGUGGAAUUCCCGGUGUAGCGGUGAAAUGCGUAAAUAUCGGGAGGAAUACCAGUGGCGAAGGCGGCUUUCUGGUCUAUUUCUGAC
rnacentral:rRNA from 1 species